CGACCGCUGGCGGCGUGCUUAACACAUGCACGUCGAACGGAAAGGCCCUGCUUUUGUGGGGUGCUCGAGUGGCGAACGGGUGAGUAACACGUGAGUAACCUGCCCUUGACUUUGGGAUAACUUCAGGAAACUGGGGCUAAUACCGGAUAGGAGCUCCUGCUGCAUGGUGGGGGUUGGAAAGUUUCGGCGGUUGGGGAUGGACUCGCGGCUUAUCAGCUUGUUGGUGGGGUAGUGGCUUACCAAGGCUUUGACGGGUAGCCGGCCUGAGAGGGUGACCGGCCACAUUGGGACUGAGAUACGGCCCAGACUCCUACGGGAGGCAGCAGUGGGGAAUAUUGCACAAUGGGCGGAAGCCUGAUGCAGCAACGCCGCGUGCGGGAUGACGGCCUUCGGGUUGUAAACCGCUUUCGCCUGUGACGAAGCGUGAGUGACGGUAAUGGGUAAAGAAGCACCGGCCAACUACGUG
rnacentral:rRNA from 1 species